rnacentral:rRNA from 1 species
GAUGAACGCUGGCGGCGUGCCUAAUACAUGCAAGUCGAGCGAACAGACGAGGAGCUUGCUCCUCUGACGUUAGCGGCGGACGGGUGAGUAACACGUGUAUCACCUCCCUAUAAUACUGGGAUAACUUCGGGAAACCGGAGCUAAUACCGUAUAAUAUAUUGAACCGCAUGGUUCAAUAGUGAAAGACGGUUUUGCUGUCACUUAUAGAUGGAUCCGCGCCGCAUUAGCUAGUUGGUAAGGUAACGGCUUACCAAGGCGACGAUGCGUAGCCGACCUGAGAGGGUGAUCGGCCACACUGGAACUGAGACACGGUCCAGACUCCUACGGGAGGCAGCAGUCGGGAAUCUUCCGCAAUGGGCGAAAGCCUGACGGAGCAACGCCGCGUGAGUGAUGAAGGUCUUCGGAUCGUAAAACUCUGUUAUUAGGGAAGAACAAAUGUGUAAGUAACUAUGCACGUCUUGACGGUACCUAAUCAGAAAGCAACGGCUAACUACGUG